UACAGGGGGGGCAAGCGUUGUUCGGAAUUACUGGGCGUAAAGGGUCUGUAGGUGGCCAACUAAGUCAGACGUGAAAUCCCUCAGCUUAACUGGGGAACUGCGUCUGAUACUGGAUGGCUUGAGUGUGGGAGAGGAAUGCGGAAUUCCAGGUGUAGCGGUGAAAUGCGUAGAUAUCUGGAGGAACACCGGUGGCGAAGGCGGCAUUCUGGACCAUAACUGACACUGAGGGACGAAAGCCAGGGGAGCAAACGGG
rnacentral:rRNA from 1 species